UAACGUCCGCAUUUUUAAAUGGAGGAAAAAAAAAAGUCCUCCUUUCUGUCCAAUACCACAUGAAAGUGGUUGGAUUUGGCAUCUCAUUUGUCCAACUUGCAUACUCGUUUUUAAACACUUUGUUAUGAGAGUAGCAUAUGUGUGUGGCCCUUUAAUGUCUGGCUGCAGGUGAGUGACGUCAGUGAGUGUGCGGUUGGGCAAGCAAGUGAGAAAGCGGUCGCUGAGGGCGGGGGAGAAAUACAUUGGCAUCAAACUCCGUAGCUUGCUAGCUUUCUGAGACUCUUAUUUUGUUAGCACAGGCAGGAUGAAACAGGUAUUUUAUGGUGAAAACAGGAACUGUGCAGUCGGUCUUUAGAGUUUUGACAGUAGCUUGCAGCAGCCAGUGUCAUCUCACAAGAUCCUCGGGUGCCGAGAAUGUCAAACAACUGACGAAAGUGAAGUCUUGGUAUGAUUGAUGAUUGCUCAUUUUUAUGUAUAUUUUUUAAUGCCUGGCUUGAGAUCGACUGACACACCCUCCGAGAUCGACCAGUCGAUCGCGAUCGACGUAAUGUGCACCCCUGCUCUAUAGGGUUCAUAUGUUUAUAAAUCUGACUGUGAUGAUGUCAGUGCCUCACCGGCCAUGAACCUCACUGCACGUCACUUGUGUGUGUGUGUGUGUGUGUGUGUGUGUGUGUGUGUGUGUGUGUGUGUGUGUGUGUGUGUGUGUGUGUGUGUGUGUGCAAUCUGAGCGCGCCAAGUACAUUUAAAGUAGUUUUGUUAGUGCGAAAAAAUUCCAUCUGUUCCAUCAAGGUGAAAGAUAAGGCUUUCUAAAAAAAAAAAAAAAAAAACUCCAAAGUACAGCCGGUAAGCACAUAUUACCUUCAGUUGUU